GAUGAACGCUGGCGGCGUGCCUAAUACAUGCAAGUCGAGCGGACGGACGAGAAGUUUGCUUCUCUGAUGUUAGCGGCGGACGGGUGAGUAACACGUUGAUAACCUACCUAUAAGACUGGGAUAACUUCGGGAAACCGGAGCUAAUACCGGAUGAUAUUUUCAACCGCAUGGUUCAAGAGUGAAAGACGGUCUUGCUGUCACAUAUAGAUGGAUCCGCGCUGCAUUAGCUGGUUGGUAAGGUAACGGCUUACCAAGGCAACGAUGCGUAGCCGACCUGAGAGAGUGGUAGACGACCCGAGAGCGGGAACGGCGACAAGACUCCUACGAGAGGCAGCAGAAGGGAAUGGUACGCAGAGGGCGGAAGCCUGACGCAACGGGGGCACGCGAGUGAUGGAGAUCUUCGGAUCGUAAUACUCUGUUAUUAGGGAAGAACAUAUGUGUAAGUAGCUGAGCACAGAUUGACGGUACCUAAUCAGAAAGCCACGGCUAACUACGUG
rnacentral:rRNA from 1 species